rnacentral:rRNA from 1 species
GACGAACGCUGGCGGCGUGCUUAACACAUGCAAGUCGAACGGUGAAGGUGGGAGCUUGCUCCUGCUGGAUCAGUGGCGAACGGGUGAGUAACACGUGAAUUACAUGCCCUUCAGUGAGGAAUAGCCCAGGGAAACUUGGAUUAAUACCUCAUGGUCUCGCAAGAGUAAAGGCGGCGCAAGCUGCCGCUGAAGGAUUGGUUCGCGCCCUAUCAGCUAGUUGGUGAGGUAACGGCUCACCAAGGCGACGACGGGUAGCCGGUCUGAGAGGACGAUCGGCCACACUGGAACUGAGACACGGUCCAGACACCUACGGGCGGCAGCAGUCGAGAAUAAUUCACAAUGGGGGAAACCCUGAUGGUGCAACGCCGCGUGGAGGAUGAAGGUCUUCGGAUUGUAAACUCCUGUCAUCCGGGAGUAAGACCUGGCGGUGAAUAGCCGACAGGGUUGAUAGUACCGGAAGAGGAAGGGACGGCUAACUUCGUGCCAGCCGCCGCCGUAA